GCCUGCCGCCAUGUAAACGUUCUUUGCUCCUGCUUCGUCUUCUGCCGUGAUUGUGAGGCCUCCCCAGCCAUGUGGAACUACUCAUCACUCACUGCAGAUGUUACUUUAAGACAUUCUGGAGCAGCGUCAUGUGCAGUUCUCUUGCCUGCCACCAUGUAAGAUAUGCUUUUACUCUUCCGCCUUCCACCGUGACUGUGAGGCCUCCCCAGCCAUGUGAAACUGCCUUUGAGCUUAUACUGAAUUAUACCACCAGCUUUCCUAGGUCUUGAAGCUUACAGACAGCAGAUCUUGGGACUUCUCAGGCACCAUAAUCAAUCAUAGAUAAAUGAUCCAAUGAUUCGGAACUUGAAAAGUGGUAGCUUUAUGAAUUCUCCUUAAGAAGAAACCUGUGCCCUGAUCUUGCCUACUCACCCAAAGGCACUGUGAGAUAGCAUCAAAGGAACAGCUAGUAAGAGACACAGAGCCAGAAAUCAGGGAAGUAAAAUACACUUGACAUCUACGUUCGGAAAGAAAUUUUAGGAGGCAGAAGCAAAUGGAUCAGAAGCUGCUUAUAUUUUUGCAAGAUUACCAAAGAAACCAUUGGUGGAGAAAGUUCUGUGACCAACUUGUCUGAGUCUAGUAAGAUUGAACGCUCACACACAAGUUUCAUGAAGUGGGUUUGAUACUUACAGAUAAGCAGCAAGGACCAACAGAAGCUGAUGAUCUAUGGUGAACUUUUUCCCAAGGCUCCGGAAAGCUGCCUAAAGUAGAUGGAGUCUUCUCUGUGUGUGCCCCACUGGUCCUGCAGUUGAAGGAUCCGGUAAAGCAGCCUGCCCUUGGUUUUAUACUCCAGAGGAACGUGAUUCGCUGGACUAAAGCAUUGAAGUGCAUCCUGUUUCCGGGGGGCACUGGAACAGAGCCUGGUCUGUUCUAGCCAGUCCCUUUCUAUCUCAGGAUAACAUUCUACAGUUAUUCUUGAGAACUAUAAUCAAAUAAGCAGGGAGAACUGGGAAAGCAGAGGCUCAUUGUGGAACCCUCAAGGAGCAUGGGGUCGUCUUCAUCCCUCAGUUUAUAAAUGGCCAAGGAGAGUAAUGCAACAAAAACUUCUCAGAGUUAAAAGCCAGAGUUCCUAAAGAACCGUGGACAAAGGGUUCUGUCUAGUGGGCAGAAUUCAUCCAGCGAAGGUGCUUACUGCACUCCCAGCAUGUGCUUGGGAACUUUAUUAAAAUUCCUUCCUAUUGAGAUUUAAAUUGCUGUCCAGAAUUAUACAAUAUAAUGAAUGGGGGCAUUCAUUAUGUGUAUUCUAUGCCUUCUCCAUCAUUGCAUAUUCAGUCCUCGUGCUAGAGAGAGGCAGAUAAUCUACCUUUUAAAUUGAUAGGUCUCCUAACUACAGAGGGUCACAUCUGGAUCUGAUGGCACCUACAGAACUUGGACUCUGAGCGACAAUCAGUGACCAGGAAAUUUGGAACCCAGGUUUUCCCAACCUACAUCUACAAAAUGGAAUGGGUCUGAUUCGCAAGUUUUCAGAGAAAGAAGCCAACCUUAAUCAGACUGUGAUAUGAUGAGGAAAUAAAACUUGCUGUGCUAAUCAACUGAUACUGGGAAGCAUGUUUAUUAUAAUAACAUAGUCUAUGCUUAACUUUUCUAAGAAACUAAUGAUCUGGAAUAUCGAUAAAAAGAAAAAAGAAAGAAA
ensembl:lncRNA LINC02241 long intergenic non-protein coding RNA 2241